rnacentral:rRNA from 1 species
GAUGAACGCUAGCUACAGGCUUAACACAUGCAAGUCGAGGGGAAACGCCAUCGAAAGCUUGCUUUUGAUGGGCGUCGACCGGCGCACGGGUGAGUAACGCGUAUCCAACCUGCCCACCACUUGGGGAUAACCUUGCGAAAGUAAGACUAAUACCCAAUGACGUCUCUAGAAGACAUCUGAAAGAGAUUAAAGAUUUAUCGGUGAUGGAUGGGGAUGCGUCUGAUUAGCUUGUUGGCGGGGUAACGGCCCACCAAGGCGACGAUCAGUAGGGGUUCUGAGGGGAAGGUACCCCACAUUGGAGCUACGGCCCGGUCCACUCUCCUACGGGAGGCAGCAGUGAGGAAUAUUGGUCAAUGGACGAGAGUCUGAACCAGCCAAGUAGCGUGCAGGAUGACGGCCCUAUGGGUUGUAAACUGCUUUUAUAAGGGAAUAAAGUGAGUCUCGUGAGACUUUUUGCAUGUACCUUAUGAAUAAGGACCGGCUAAUUCCGUG